ACAGUACAGCGUCCUGUCGCUUGCCGUUUUUAUGCGGCAAGAGGAAAGUCCGGGCAACACAGAGUGCCAUAUUUCUUAACGGGAAGCUGUCAGCGAUGGCAGAGCAGUGUGACAGAAAAUAACCGCCGUCCUUUGGACGGUAAGGGUGAAAAGGCGGGGUAAGAGCCCACCGGGCGCGAUGGCGACAUUGCGUGCCGCACACCUUAUGGGUUGCAAGGCCAAGUAUACCGGCAUCUAAGGGUUACUCGUCCAUUGCCGGGGGGUAGGCUGCUUGAGCCUUAUGGAGACAUAAGGAUUAGAUAAAUGACAGGAGGCGGACUUGUCCGUUACAUAACCCGGCUUAUAGCUGUGCUGUUUUU
rnacentral:RNase_P_RNA from 1 species